rnacentral:rRNA from 1 species
AACGAACGCUGGCGGCAUGCCUAACACAUGCAAGUCGAACGAGACCUUCGGGUCUAGUGGCGCACGGGUGCGUAACGCGUGGGAACCUGCCCCUAGGUUCGGAAUAACUCCCCGAAAGGGGUGCUAAUACCGGAUAAUGUCUUCGGACCAAGGAUUUAUCGCCUUUGGAUGGGCCCGCGUUGGAUUAGCUAGUUGGUAGGGUAAAAGCCUACCAAGGCGACGAUCCAUAGCUGGUCUGAGAGGAUGAUCAGCCACACUGGGACUGAGACACGGCCCAGACUCCUACGGGAGGCAGCAGUGGGGAAUAUUGGACAAUGGGCGAAAGCCUGAUCCAGCAAUGCCGCGUGAGUGAUGAAGGCCUUAGGGUUGUAAAGCUCUUUUACCCGGGAUGAUAAUGACAGUACCGGGAGAAUAAGCUCCGGCUAACUCCGUG